GUACAUUAGUGCUUGCGCACAACAGUUAAUUUCAUUACAUUCGAGUUUGUGUAAAAAAUCCUCUGCCGGCCAAAGCUAGCAAGAGGCCAAAGGUGCACAGGGUAUUAGGAUGAAAGUCACCGACGUGCACUUGCUGAAGCCGGCCAGCACUGAAGGCAACAAUUCGCAAUCAAUAAUGAUCCUUCCGCAGGUUCACCUACGGAAA
rnacentral:misc_RNA from 1 species